UCUUCCCUGUCUUUGAGAGGAGCUCAUCACUUCAGUGGUGGACUUCAUACAUGCUUCUGCUGGAGAUGAGAAGGUAACAAGUCCCUCAUCUAGCUGCCCCCGUAAGUCAAUUGUAGUCAGACUAAGAAGAUGCAAAAUCGUCUGUUUCUAUAAUAAAUUCAUAAUUUUUG